CGGGGUGCAGCAGGCGCGAAAACUUUACACUGCGGGAAACCGCGAUAAGGGGACCCCGAGUGCCAGCACCUAGUGCUGGCUGUCCAGCUGUCCAAAUAACAGUUGUUAGCAAGGGCCGGGCAAGACCGGUGCCAGCCGCCGCGGUAACACCGGCGGCCCGAGUGGUAGCCGUUAUUAUUGGGUUUAAAGGGUCCGUAGCCGGCCUAUUAAGUCUCUUGGGAAAUCUGGCGACUUAAUCGUCAGGCGUCCAAGAGAUACUGGUAGGCUUGGGACCGGGAGAGGUGGGAGGUACUCCAGGGGUAGGGGUGAAAUCUCGUAAUCCUUGGGGGACCACCGAUGGCGAAGGCAUCCCACCAGAACGGGUCCGACGGUGAGGGACGAAAGCUGGGGGCACGAACCGGAUUAGAUACCCGGGUAGUCCCAGCUGUAAACGAUGCUCGCUAGGUGUCAGGUGCGGUGCGACCGCAUCUGGUGCCGCAGUGAAAACUUGAAGCGAGUCACCUGGGAAGUACGGUCGCAAGGCUGAAACUUAAAGGAAUUGGCGGGGGAGCAC
rnacentral:rRNA from 1 species